AAAUCGCAAAAAAGACUCAAAGGGGUAGUUUCGUCAUUAAUUUGAAUUUUCCCUUUCUCCUUCUUCACUGCCAGCUCUGCUAUAGAGCUUCUUCUUCUCUUCUUCUUCACGUACGCUUCAGAGAUCGACCCGAGUAGAGAUAAUAAAAAAAAAAUGUCAGGAUUCGUCGGGAUUUUGGUAUCGGAUCCAUGGUUACAGAACCAAUUCACACAAGUGGAGCUUCGGAGUUUGAAAUCUCACUUCACGAGCAUGAGGAGAGAGAGCGGUAAGCUAA